AGGACGGGAAAAUUCGGUCGAACGGAAAAAGGCCCAAUCUGAUCUGAAACCCGCAGAGAAAAGAAGUCUCGCCGUUAUCGUUUCCCUACAUUCUUCACUUUGAUCAAUCUCUUUCAUCAACUCUAGAUUAAUUUCCAGCUUUUCUUUUCGCUCGCUGCUUCAAUUUCUAGGGUUUCUGAUUCACACAUGAUCGAGGCUUCGUCGAACAACUAAUUGUUAGUCUUUACUCUGCUUUAUUAUUCGCGUUUAGGAUCUGACCCACCCCGUUUCAAUUUCCUCAAAGUUCCUGACUUUUUGAAUUGGAGAGCCUGACUUUGAUUUGGGGGUUUAGGGUUAGGGUUUUAAUUGGAUUGGGCUAAAGGGUAGGGUUCCCCCGCUGUGGUUUUUCUGGCUCUUGGGUAUAUAUAUGGCGGCUGGAAGACAUGGGGGUUAUCGCGAAAACGAGUUCAGGGAGCGAGAGUCCAGUUUCGAAUUGCCGCGGAGGGAUUUAGCUUCUGCUAAGGAGGACUUGGAGCGGAUGGGGAAUGGGAAUCGUGAUGUUCACAAGGGCCGCGUUCGGGAUUUGAGAGAUAGAAUCAGGGCUAGGUCCAAGGAGAGGGCUGUGGCUAAUGGUGGAUACCGAUCCUCUUCGAGUAGGAGUGAUUCCGGCAGCAGUGGCGGUGGCGGGCCUAAGCCGUGUGGGUUUUCUGCCAAGGCAUUGGAUAGGGAACCUGGUGAAUUGUCAAGUGAGAGCGGGUCCGAUGAUGCUAUUGAAUCCGGGUCGCAGGGCCGAGAUGAUGUAGAGGUUAUGAAGGUGGUGGAGAAUGGAAGUCAGACUCCCAAGGAGAGGAAAAGGAAGUUUUCGCCUAUUGUGUGGGAUAGAGAUGAUAAAGAAGGGAGUAAUUCGUCCAAGACUAGGAUUACAACAACAGUGGCAACAGCCCUUCCUCCACCCCCACUGGCUAGGGUGUCUCGUCAGUCUCCUAAUGUUACUUCAGAUAGCAGGGUACAAAUAUCUUCAGCUAAAAUUGAUGAAGCCGACAAUUUACAACCUUCAUCUCCGGUUAAGUCGUCUCCUGUGGCACCUGAGACUGUUAGCAAUGGUGUAUAUGAGUCUCCGGUAGAGUUGUCUUCACCAGAUCAGCAUUUAGGGGAUGUUCGUGAAGCAGAGCAGCUAGAAGAAGAAGAUUAUGUUCCAACCCGAAAUAUAUCAUCUUCAAGAUGGGCAGCAGGAAAUAAUUCUCCUGGUGAUGAAGGUGGAAUUUCAGAAAACGAGGAAAUUCCUAAAAGGAGGAGGAAAAUGCCUCGUUUAGGAUCAGUGGAAAACAGAGUACGCAACAGCUCAUUGACUCCGGAGCUAGGGGAGCUUAAGAAAGAUGGGUCUGAACGAGGUAGGGCGAGAUCAUCCGAGUCUGAUGAACGAGAUGCCCUUCGAAGGUCUAGUGGGGAUGACUAUCCUGAUAAUGACUCAGAGAGGGAUGACUACAUGGAUGUUGACAAGGAUAAUGGUAAUAAUGAUAGUGUUAGUCGUUAUGAUACUAGUUCAGAGGAUGAGCAUGAUUCUCCUGAGACACCAGAGCCUGCAGCUCCUCCACAAAGAAGUGUAAACAUGCUUCAGGGUUGUAGAAGUGUUGAUGAGUUCGAGAGACUAAACAAGAUAGAUGAGGGCACUUAUGGUGUUGUAUAUCGGGCCCAAGAUAAGAAAACUGGUGAAAUUGUGGCAUUGAAGAAGGUGAAGAUGGAGAAGGAAAGAGAAGGUUUUCCAUUAACUUCUCUGAGGGAAAUAAACAUUCUCCUUUCUUUUCAUCAUCCAUCAAUUGUCGAUGUUAAGGAAGUAGUGGUGGGCAGUAACCUUGAUAGCAUUUUUAUGGUGAUGGAAUACAUGGAGCAUGAUCUUAAAGCACUCAUGGAGACAAUGAAGCAGCCAUUUAGUCCGAGUGAAGUCAAAUGCCUUAUGCUCCAGCUAUUGGAAGGUGUCAAAUAUCUUCAUGAUAAUUGGGUGCUUCAUCGGGAUUUGAAGACAUCUAACCUGCUUUUGAAUAAUCGGGGUGAGUUGAAGAUCUGUGACUUUGGGUUGGCUCGUCAAUAUGGAAGUCCUUUGAAACCGUAUACUCAUUUGGUGGUUACUCUUUGGUACAGGGCGCCGGAACUUCUGUUGGGAGCAAGAGAAUAUUCAACGGCAAUCGAUAUGUGGUCACUAGGGUGUAUCAUGGCUGAGCUGUUAUCGAAGGAGCCGCUUUUUAAUGGGAAAACUGAAUUUGAACAACUUGACAAAAUUUUUAAGAUACUUGGCACACCAAAUGAGACUAUUUGGCCUGGGUUUUCCAAGCUUCCUGGAGUAAAGGUCAACUUUGUUAAGCAUCAGUAUAACCUUUUGCGCAAGAAGUUCCCAGCUACUUCAUUUACUGGAUCUCCAGUUCUUACUGAAGCUGGAUUUGAUUUGUUGAAUAAGCUUCUAACUUAUGACCCUGAGAAGAGAAUUUCUGCCGAUGCUGCUCUGAAUCAUGAGUGGUUUCGCGAAGUCCCUCUUCCCAAGACGAAAGAUUUCAUGCCCACGUUUCCUGCUCAACAUGCUCAAGACAGGCGCUCACGGAGAAUGUUGAAGAGUCCAGAUCCCUUGGAAGAGCAACGGAGAAAGGAGUUGCAAGGGGGUAUAGGAACCGGGGGUGUGUUUGGCUAGGAUAAAUCAGAUCAGUGGCCUUGAUACAUUAAUGGGCAUGGCUGAGAGACGGUUGGUGUGAAGUGGAAGGGAGUGCUUUGCUUUUCCUUGACGAAGAAUAUUGACAAUUAAGCAUGUAAUUUUGAAGUAUCAAAGCAAGCAGGUUGAGGAGGUUUCCUGCACUUGCAGGAACUUAUAGAACUUCAAUUAGUUGUUCCACAGGCUCACUAGAGAAGAAUUUUAAGAAAUACGCUAAAAGGCAAAAAGAUUCCGGUCUCUGUUCCUGGACACUUCGCAUUCUUAACAUUGACAAAAUGUCAGGUGCAAAAUUGUGGCCUUUUUUAUUGCGCUACUAUUUUGUUUGUAUAAAUGGAAUGAAAAUUAUUCUAGUUAAAACUGAAGGCCUAGGUGUUGAAAUGCGAAGUGAUACUAGUGAUGCACAUAGUGGUAACUUUCGUAUAUUCGUCUUCUGCCAUUCACUCAUAACUGAGGAUCUGGAGGGCUGGACUCUCUGAAGUAGCAUCUACAUUGAGUAUUGCUUCUAUGUCACUUGGGGAUAGGUAAUUUGGAGAGUUAUGAAUUUGCCUUGAAAAUUGUCAGAAUUGGGUUGAUUAGUUCACUUUCAUCGCGUAAUUAAAACCACAGAGUAAUCCUUAUAUUACAGCUGUCAAAUAUAUGGAAUUGUCUCAAGGGACAUUUCUGUCAAGUUCAGUGCCCUUUGAUAAUGAACUAGCAAACUCCUCUUGAGGCAUGGAGGGCAAGGGUAUUUUGAAUGACUCCAUAGUGUGUGUUUCUGAACUUGGUUCAGUUGGAACAUAUACUUCGUUUUUUGACAGUGUGCAGUUUUACUAGUAAGGAUUUAUGUUAAUUGAAAACUGAUCAGUGGAAAAGUUGGGAUUUUGAUUGUUAAUGUGGUCAAGUAUAGAGAUGACGGUUCAUUGUGGUUUAUAACAUUAUAUACUAUGGUUUUUUCAGUUGUGUCUAUUUGAUGUUACGAUAUGGUGGCAAUUUUAAUGGCACUUUUAGAACUAUUGUACGAACCUUAUUAGGAAGUUAUAGAGACGAGAAAGAUAAUUGUAGGGUAUAAUAGUGUGGUCUCUUUUAUUUCAACAUUUCUGAGCCUUUUUUUGUUUUUUUUUCAUGAUAAUUGAUGUUACACUAGUGUGGUUUUGUUUGGCUUAACAUGUCUGUUGGCAUUUGUCUGUAUGUUUUAAGAUAGGAAGAACAGAAGUGUUUAAGCUGUUCAGUCCUUGCUGCCAGUUUUAGUCAAUUGAGUCGAAAUAAUGGUGGAGGCAGCUGACAGCCUGACACAAUGGACUUUGUUCCCUCCCCCUGUUUGGUUCUUUUGUUCAAUAGUUGUCUAUUUUUCAAAGCUACAACUUAUGUUUACCUUAUUACUACUGUUUUGGUUCAAGUAAUUUGUGACGUUGCUCAUAAAUCCUGGAAUAUAUGUUUCUCAUUCAAUACUCUUAAGGCAUUUUUU